rnacentral:rRNA from 1 species
CCUACGGGUGGCAGCAGUGAGGAAUAUUGGUCAAUGGCCGGGAGGCUGAACCCGCCAAGUCGCGUGAGGGAUGACUGCCCUACGGGUUGUAAACCUCUUUUGUCAGGGAGCAAAGUGAAGGUCGUGACCUUCUGUGAGAGUACUUUAUGAAUAAGCAUCGGCUAACUCCGUGCCAGCAGCCGCGGUAAUACGGAGGAUCCAAGCGUUAUCCGGAUUUAUUGGGUUUAAAGGGUGCGUAGGCGGAUUGAUAAGUUAGAGGUGAAAUGUCCCAGCUUAACUCGGGAACUGCCUCUAAUACUGUUGGUCUAGAGAGUAGAUGAGGUUGGCGGAAUGUAUGGUGUAGCGGUGAAAUGCUUAGAGAUCACACAGAACACCGAGUGCGAAGGCAGCUUACCAAUCUAUAUCUGACGUUGAGGCACGAAAGUGUGGGGAGCAAACAGGAUUAGAUACCCCUGUAGUC